AUUGAACGCUGGCGGCAGGCCUAACACAUGCAAGUCGAGCGGAUGAAGGGAGCUUGCUCCUGGAUUCAGCGGCGGACGGGUGAGUAAUGCCUAGGAAUCUGCCUGGUAGUGGGGGAUAACGUCCGGAAACGGGCGCUAAUACCGCAUACGUCCUGAGGGAGAAAGUGGGGGAUCUUCGGACCUCACGCUAUCAGAUGAGCCUAGGUCGGAUUAGCUAGUUGGUGGGGUAAAGGCCUACCAAGGCGACGAUCCGUAACUGGUCUGAGAGGAUGAUCAGUCAAACUGAAACUGGACACCGGCCCGGCCCCUUACGGAAGCAGGCGUUGGGAAUUUUUGGCCAAGGGGGGAAGGCUUGACCAGGCAUGGCGGCGUUGGUAAAGAGGGCUUUCGAAUUGUAAACACCUUUAGGUGGGAAGAAAGGGAAGUAGUUUAUUCCCUGCCUUUUUGACGUUACCAACAGAAUAAGCACCGGCUAACUUCGUG
rnacentral:rRNA from 1 species